GACGUAGGGCGCGAGCGUUGUCCGGAUUUAUUGGGCGUAAAGCGCUUGUAGGCGGCACGUCAAGUCGCGUGUGAAAUCCCCAGGCUUAACCUGGGAAGUGCGCGCGAAACUGACGAGCUUGAGUGCCGGAGAGGGUCGCGGAAUUCCCGGUGUAGAGGUGAAAUUCGUAGAUAUUGGGAAGAACACCGGUGGCGAAGGCGGCGACCUGGUCCGUGACUGACGCUGAGGCGCGAAAGCCAGGGGAGCAAACGGG
rnacentral:rRNA from 1 species